AAGAUGGCGACCGGCGCACGGGUGAGUAACACGUAUCCAACCUGCCGAUAACUCCGGAAUAGCCUUUCGAAAGAAAGAUUAAUACCGGAUGGCAUACGAAUAUCGCAUGAUAUUUUUAUUAAAGAAUUUCGGUUAUCGAUGGGGAUGCGUUCCAUUAGUUUGUUGGCGGGGUAACGGCCCACCAAGACUACGAUGGAUAGGGGUUCUGAGAGGAAGGUCCCCCACACUGGAACUGAGACACGGUCCAA
rnacentral:rRNA from 1 species